CAGCCAUGGCGCGAUUCAUCUACGCUUUUGUUCUUUGUGUGGCUCUGUUUGCCCAGUACGGGGCCAGCUGCUGCUGUCAGGCAAACCAGGCGUCUACCCAAACUUCCUCAUCCAGCUAUCCCAUCCCCAUCCCCAUGCCCGUCGCCGGUCCCCCUCCCAGUGCCCCCAGCUCCAACUUCCUCCCCACCAUCCUCACCACGCUGGGAUAAACCGCAAGCUAGGUAAUGAGACCCAGACACCAAACGUGUUGAGACGUGGACAGCGUACGUCAUUGGAUGAAGGCAAAUGUAGAAAAAUAAAUAAAUA